rnacentral:rRNA from 1 species
UACGUAGGGUGCAAGCGUUGUCCGGAAUCAUUGGGCGUAAAGAGCUCGUAGGCGGUUUGUCGCGUCUGCUGUGAAAACCUGGGGCUUAACCGCAGACGGUCGUGGGAAACUGGAAGGCUAGAGUGCGGGAGAGGAGAGUGGAAUUCCCGGUGUAGCGGUGAAAUGCGCAGAUAUCGGGAAGAACACCCGUGGCGAAGGCGGCUCUCUGGAACGCAACUGACGCUGAGACGCGAAAGCGUGGGGAGCAAACAGG